ACUACGGAAUUCGCUCCUCCGCGAAGCCAUUUGGACCGACUCCGCCUCCUGCGCCCCGGUUCUCCAGGGCGCUUCCUUGGACACCGGGCACCUAGUAGGCGCUUAGCCGGCCCUCGCUGAGUUCUUGGGGGAAUGGACGAGCCUGUCUAGUGAUAAGCCGCUGGGCUUUGGGAGGUCCGCUGGGUGUGACCUACUCCUCGUCGCCUCUCCUUCAGACCUCCCUGAAAUAGCAGACUCGGGCAGGGCCAGGACGGCGUCUUCUCCACCUUUGUAGCCACAGCCCUACUCUCCACUUCCGUCCUAGACAAGGCUUCUUUUCCUACUUUGCCCGGCCGUUCCCCCUCCUGCUCUGCUCCGAUGUUUCUCCGUCUAACCACCGGCCACUCCCUCUCCAGGCUUUCCGUCUCCCCUUUCUCCUGCCACGCCUUCAAGCUCAAUCGUACUCUAGCUGGAGGAAAAGAUGGAGGAAAAGAAGCUUCCCCAGACCUCUUUCCGUCCUCCCGCCCUGCGACAGAGCAGCUGUUUCCAACCUGCGCUUGGCCGAGAGUCCUGCCACUUAAAGGCCCGCCAGGCUGUGGAGGGGCCCAAGAAUUGGAUAAGGGCUGCUGGCAGAAACAGGGUCCCAUCUUCCCUGCUGCUUCUUAUACCCAUAGACUGGGAUUUUCUUUUCUUUGGGCAUGGAAACAGGAAAAAGACCUUUUCAGAAUCCACUUUGUGUUGGUUUAAUAUCUACUGAAGACUCACAAAGAGGAAAAUAGCCAGAAAAAAAAAAAACAAAAAAACAGGCACCUUGCCUGGGAAACACUUUCUGGUGUUGGCUGCCAGCCAUUUUCCUGCCAUCCUUUCCAAGUCUGGUUUUCUCCCACCUGGCCUCAGAGCCAGGAAGCUUUGCACAGACAGCAUCCACCUUAGGGCCUGAUGCUCUUGAAGUGCUAAUUAAUAAAGAACAACAACAAACAAGGAUUGAUUCAGCAGCUCACUCGUUCUCCGUCGGUGUUUUGUUAAAUCCUCUGCACAGUAACAUUAAGCAUAAAACUGUGGCGUUCUGGUGAUGACUGUAGCCUGAGACCUCAAGUUCCUGUCUUCAAGGAAGUAAGAAGGAGAUGAUAGCACUCAGUAAAAGCCUUCAUUAAUCCAUGCAGAAAUCUUCCCUCUUAGCUCAGUCAGUGAAGAAUCUGCCUGCAAAUGCAGGAGACCAGGUUGAAUUCCUGGGACAGAAAGAUGCCCUGGAAAAGGAAAUGGCAACCCACUCCAGUAUUCUUGCUUGGAGAAUCCCAGGACAGCGGAGCCUGGCAGGUUACAGUCCUUGGGAUUGCAAGAGUUGGACAGGAUUUAUCAACUAAACCACCAAUCCAUACGGAACUCUUUUGGGAGGUGGGCCUAGAGGGUCUUGUGUUUGCAAAAUGACUGUGUUUAGUGCCAGGCCAGCUCCCUCGCCUGAGGCACAAAUUCCUCUCUUUCAAAGGUAGAAUAGCCUAGUGUUUUGACAACUCUGGGAUACUAAUAAUAAUUAUGCCAUUUACUUGCUGUGUCACCUUGGGCAACUUACCUCUCUUCAACUUCAGUUUCCCUCUCUCAACCAGUUAUCAAUGAUCUAUUAUCUAAUUCCUAGGAUUAUGCACAUUUACAUAAAUUGAAUUGUGUAGCCAGUGCAUAAAAAGUGCUCAAUAAAUGCUAUCCCUAAUCCCCAUGUAGUUCUGCAUUCAGGCAGCAGCCCCCUACCCCCACCCGUGCAGACACACAUUCAGUGCCCUCCCCCACAUCUUGCAUAAACAAUCCUAUCCCGCCUUCAAAGCCCAUGUGAAAUUGCACUUUCCCCAACCCCCAACACCCAGCUCCCAGAGCGCUCUCUCUCCUGUGAACUUGAACAGCAGUUAUUGCCUGCACUAUUCAUUUUAUUCUGAAUCACUUACUGCCUUCCAUUGUUCUCUCAUUGUUAGUUCUGUCUCCCACACUCAGAUCUUUGACAGCAGGAAUGGGUCUUCAUCUUUUCUAAACCCUCCUCAGUACCUAGCAGCGUGGCAAACAUAGUAGGCACUCCGCAGACACUAGGAGAGUGUUGUCCCCAUUACUGUUGUUGUUUUGUCUCUUUUGCCACCCCAUGGACUAUCGCCCGCCAGGCUCUCUGUCUAUGGGAUUUCCCAGCAAGAAUAUUGGAGUGGGUUGCCAUUUCCUCCUCCAGGGGAUCUUCCCGACCCAGAGAUUGAAUCCCCAUCACCUGCGUUGGCAGUCAAGAUGGAUUCCUUACCACUGAGCCACGAAGGAAAGUCUGUUGUCCCCAUAGAUAAAAGCCCAUUGGCUUCUUGUCUCUGAACAGUAAGAAAAGCAACCGAACUUGGAUUUUAAAGUAGAACCUUGAAGUGCAGUGAAAAGGAAACCUGGACCUUGGGGAAAGUCAUCUCUCUGUGCUUCCAUGUACUCAGCUAGAGACCUUCAUACACUGCACUGGGCAUUCCACAUUUGCUUGUUGACUAACAGGCCACCUGAUGAGAAGAGCCAACUCAUUGGAAAAGACCCUGAUGCUGGGAAAGAUUGAAGGCAGGAAGAGAAGGGGAUGACAGAGGAUGAGAUGGUUGGAUGGCAUCACCGACUCAAUGGAUGAGUCUGAGCAAGCUCCGGGAGAUGGCGAAGGAUAGGGAAGCCUGGCAUGCUGCAGUCCAUCGGGUCACAAAGAGUCAGACAUGACUGAGUGACUGAACACCAACAACGAAGCAGAACACUGGCCUAUAAGUGACGAGACCUGCAUUCCUGUUUCAGCUCUGCUACCAACAUGCUGUGUAACCUCAAGCAUGUUGAUUCCCUGAGAGUCAGUUUCCUCAAUUGCGAAAUGAGGAAGAAGGUGUCUAAGAGUCCCUCCAGCUUUGCCAUUUUAUGGGUUUUAACAUAAAGGUUUAAUCAAAGAUAAAUUAUUCCUAUCACAUCAGCAACCCUUAAGCCAGUGGUUCCUAAAUUCCACUGUGCAUCAGAAUCCGCCAGAGAAGG